rnacentral:rRNA from 1 species
UACGGAGGAUCCGAGCGUUAUCCGGACUUAUUGGGUUUAAAGGGUGCGUAGGCGGGUUGUUAAGUUGUUGGUGAAAUUUCUGGGCUUAACCGAGGGAGUGCUGACAAUACUGAUAGCCUGGAGUAGGUUGAAGGGAGGCGGAAUGAUACAAGUAGCGGUAAAAUGCAUAGAUAUGUAUCAGAACACCGAAAGCGAAAGCAGCUUUCCUUGACCGUACUGACGCUGAGGCACGAAAGCGUGGGGAUCAAACAGG